CUCUUGAUAAGUUUGGGGGUAGUUAUUUUUAUUUUGCAUUAGUAGUUUGUGGAUAAUUUAUGUUUUUAUUUGUGGUUAUUGUUGGUUAAGUGUUGCAUUUAGGAUUGCAUGUUAAUUCCAGCUGUUUGAUAGUUACGUAUGUUUGGGGGCCAAUGAUGAAAUUAAAAUUGCAUGAACAAGUCUAGUAAGGAUUGUUAAGCUAGUGAUACGAUUUUCUUGACAUGAUGUAAAUCAUUAUCUGUUUGACACUAAUAUUAUCAGGAUAGCACAUUUUGAAAAAUGACCAUGUUGGCUAUGAUAGUUUAAAUGGAUAGAUAAUAGACUUCUAAAGGAUGAAUGCUAGUGAAAUAAAGGAACAAUUUGAAUAGCUAGAGAUGACUGAAUUUAGACAUAAACUCAAGUUUGGGGGAAAAAAUAUUUGGAGUAUAUAAGCUUAAAAAAAAUAAAAAUAAAAUAAAAACCGUGGCAUGCUUGUCUAGUUUUGUGGCCUUUGUUACUUGAGUAAGUAAGCCCGAGGGGAUUAUCUCUACACCUAGCGCCCUAAGGUCUUAAUGGCUUGGGAGUCAUUGGUCGAAAGCUCGUUAAGGUAACACUGAAAAGCCUAAGGGAAUAAGACAAUGCAUAGUCAUGAUGAAAAAAAAGAAAAAAAAAGAAAAGCAUUAAUAAAGCGGGAAGAGUGCGAAAAGCCCCCGUUAAUAAUAAUAAAAAGAAGAAGCAUAAGUAUUCCAUUUUGACCCUUGAACUUUGGUAGUUGUUUGAUUUCAGCUGAAUCAAGUUUAUUUGAUGAGUUCUCAAGUUUAUACUAUAUGAUGCCUAAUAAGAAGUCUAUUAUCUUUCAUAUUUUUGCUUUUCAUUGGUUAGCGUGGUUGUUGGACACACUCACGAUAUCAGUAGUAAUAAAUUUAGAUUUGUUGAUUGUGGGGAUAUUAUUGAUCUGCUUUAACAUGAUGUAUUAGAAUGUUUCUGUGGUUUUUCUGAGGCCUAUGGAUAU
rnacentral:lncRNA from 1 species